rnacentral:rRNA from 2 species
UGUAUAAUGGGUCAGCGACUUAUAUUCUGUAGCAAGGUUAACCGAAUAGGGGAGCCGAAGGGAAACCGAGUCUUAACUGGGCGUUAAGUUGCAGGGUAUAGACCCGAAACCCGGUGAUCUAGCCAUGGGCAGGUUGAAGGUUGGGUAACACUAACUGGAGGACCGAACCGACUAAUGUUGAAAAAUUAGCGGAUGACUUGUGGCUGGGGGUGAAAGGCCAAUCAAACCGGGAGAUAGCUGGUUCUCCCCGAAAGCUAUUUAGGUAGCGCCUCGUGAAUUCAUCUCCGGGGGUAGAGCACUGUUUCGGCAAGGGGGUCAUCCCGACUUACCAACCCGAUGCAAACUGCGAAUACCGGAGAAUGUUAUCACGGGAGACACACGGCGGGUGCUAACGUCCGUCGUGAAGAGGGAAACAACCCAGACCGCCAGCUAAGGUCCCAAAGUCAUGGUUAAGUGGGAAACGAUGUGGGAAGGCCCAGACAGCCAGGAUGUUGGCUUAGAAGCAGCCAUCAUUUAAAGAAAGCGUAAUAGCUCACUGGUCGAGUCGGCCUGCGCGGAAGAUGUAACGGGGCUAAACCAUGCACCGAAGCUGCGGCAGCGACACUAUGUGUUGUUGGGUAGGGGAGCG